rnacentral:rRNA from 1 species
UACGAAGGGGGCUAGCGUUGCUCGGAAUCACUGGGCGGAAAGGGUGCGUAGGCGGGUCUUUAAGUCAGGGGUGAAAUCCUGGAGCUCAACUCCAGAACUGCCUUUGAUACUGAGGAUCUUGAGUUCGGGAGAGGUGAGUGGAACUGCGAGUGUAGAGGUGAAAUUCGUAGAUAUUCGCAAGAACACCAGUGGCGAAGGCGGCUCACUGGCCCGAUACUGACGCUGAGGUGCGAAAGCGUGGGGAGCAAACAGG